UUUAUUAAGGUAGUAAUAGUUAUGUUCUUGAAACUUAAAAAAUUUGGCGGUAUUUUAGUCUAUUCAGAGGAACCUGUUCUGUAAUUGAUAUUCCACGUUGGACCUUACUUAAAUUUGUUUUGCAAUUUAUAUACCGUUGUUAUUAAAAUAUUUUAUAAAAAAGAUAAUAUUUAAUUUUUUGGAUAAAAAUUUAUAUCAAAUCAAGGUGUAGUUUAUGUUUAAGUAGAAAUGGGUUACAAUAAAUUUAUUUUUGGAUAUAAAUAUGAAAAAUUUAUUGAAAUUGGAUUUGAUAGUAAAAUUAUAAAGAUUAAUAAUUUGAUUUUAGCUCUAAAAUAUGU
rnacentral:rRNA from 1 species